rnacentral:piRNA from 1 species
GUGAGUGGAGCCUGUUCCCGUUGCCUGGG